GGCCCUGAGUAGAUAUCUUAUCUGUCCCAUCUCUCACUCUCCUUAUCUCUUUUCUCCUCCAGUACGCAGCCGCCGCAGCUCCUCCUCUGGCUCGCCUCGCUGCCACUGCUCCUCCUCUCGGCCAAGCUAGUCCUCGUCCCCUCUUCUCUCCUUGUCCUCAUCUCCACCUCUUCCCCUCUUCCUUCCUCGCCAGCAGCAGCAGCACUAGGGAGCAGCGGCGGCGGCAAGCGAGCAGCAGCAGCGGAGUAGCAACAGCGAGCAGCAAAGUAGCAGAAGUAGGGAGCGCCGGCGGCGGCGGAGGAGCAGCAGCGUCAAGAUAAUUGAUUCUUGCCGGAAGGAACACACACACGGGCGUUGAUGGUGGACAUGGUGGAGCUGAAAUUUUGCACAAAAAGUUCAUUUGCCCCAGUGGAAGUGCUUUGAUGUUGUUUGAUUGAGCAGCAUUGUCAAAAUGGGCGAGAGCAGAGGAAGCAUCGCCUUCUUUGCGUGCUACAGGCCUCCGGUGCCCCUCGACAUAUUCUGCUGUCCAGCUCCAGCAUCAUCAAGGGAGGAGGAGCGGCACUUGACGGAUGGCGUGUCGUACAACUACAACUGCCAACCCAUUCCAUCUGCGGCCCUCAAGUCGAUCGUCAAGCACCUAGAUCUGGCUCCUGAAGACGUUGAAGAAGCCGCCAUCGAUUCGGGCCGUCUCACCGGCCUCGUCUUCGUCUCUGAAAGACAGCACCACCUCGAGACUCUUCAUAUAGGCCUGCGCUUCGAUGAUGGCGACGAAGUCAGGGUCUUCACCUUGGGGGACAUCUAUGGCGGCGACUUUUUCAGUGGUGCCCGUCUGGAGGACAGCGGCUGCAUCGCAGGAGGCUACGAGGUGGAUGGCCACACAGCUGACCAUUACCUCGUCUUCGUGUCCACGAAGGAGCCUGUGCAAGAACGCCGCAGCCCGUGGAAUGUCGUCUACAAAACUAAUCUCAGAACAGGCGAAACUGAGCGCCUCACUCCACCAGGGACAUCCGAUUUAAGCCCCUCGGUGUCACCAUCUGGGAAGAGGGUAGCAGUGGCUUCGUUCCAAGGAAAGAAAUGGGAUGGUGAAGUUAAAGACUUGCUGACAAACAUUUACGUGAUGGACCUAGAGAGCACAUAUCUGGAGCGCGAGCGGGUGAUCGAGAACGCUGGCUGGCCAUCAUGGGGAAGCGAAACAGUACUAUUUUUCCAUAAAAAGGUUGGGGAUAACUGGGGUGUAUUUCGACACGACUUGAGCACCGGCGAGACCCUCCGUGUGACCCCGGAGGCAUUCGAUGCAGUGACUCCAGCAGCCAUUGAUGAGAGCAGAGUGGCUGUGGCAACCAUCCGCCAGAAGUCUGUGUUCACCGACGUCCGUGUUGAAGCGCAGUACCGUCACAUCGAGGUUUUUGACAUGGGUUUGCCGGAGGAGCCACUUCAAAUCACUCGGUGUACCAAGCCAAAAGGCGACCAUUACAACCCCUUUGUAAUGGAUGGUGGCAAGUACAUUGGCUACCAUCGUUGCAAAAGCGACCAUCUCGAGCAUGGAGAUGAUGUCCCGAGGCGGUUCGACAAGCUGCAGUCCCAUCAUGAAGAUAUUGGUCUGUUUAGGGUUGCCGGUGCAUUCCCGGCAUUUUCCAAAGAUGGCUCCAAGCUUGCAUUCGUCGAUAACGAGUUCAAAGCCGUGUGGCUGGCCGAUAGUGACGGAAUGCGUGUUGUCUUCGAAACGGAUGGUCCUGAUGGCGUCUUCUCACCGGUGUGGAACCAAAAAAAGGAUAUACUUUAUGUCUGUAUGGGACCGUCUUUCAAAGCCAACGAAAUAUUGGAGAUCUACGCCAUCCCUCACGUAUCGAGUGGUGCACGAGAGCGGCGACUGCUCACGAAGGGAAAAUUCAAUAAUGCGUUCCCAUCCACCAAUUCAGACGGGACAAAACUUGUUUUCCGAUCGACAAGAAAUGGGGGAGACAAAAAGUACAAGAAUCUAUACAUGAUGGACGCAGAGAUCGGGGAGGACGGCGGUGAAGCGGAACGGAUAACAGAGGGGGAUUGGAUUGACACACACUGCCAGUGGUCGCCAGACAGGGACUGGAUCGUGUUCUCGUCAAACCGUGACAAGCCCGCGGACGCUCCGGAGCGCGACCAUGGUAUGGACCCGGGGUACUUUGCUGUUUACCUGAUGAACGCAAUCGACCGCUCUGUGGUGAGGGUAAUCCGGAGCGGGUACGACUUCUCCGGGCACGUGAACCACCCGGUCUUCAGCCCGGACGGGCGGAGCAUCGUCGUGACGGCAGAUCUUGCCGCGGUGUCUGCUGACCCAAUGUCGCUGCCGCUCUUGUUGCACUCGCAGAGGCCCUACGGCGACAUCUUCACCGUUGAUAUCGACCCGGAUGACAUGGAGAAGAACCAGGAUGUGGAGGAGUUUGCCCGAGUCACGCAUAGCAGGUACGAGAACGCCACUCCUGACUGGACCGUGUUCUCAACUCAUGACCCGCAUGCGCAGUGGAACCUCCUGGUCAUGGAGGAGGAGUACACCCCGGCGUGCCCGUAUGCGCAUCAUGAUGGGGGUGAAAGCUGGCACAUGACAGGUCAGAUGUGCAUCCCGAAAAGGGUCUGUUGAUCUUACGCCGCUAUGUCGGAAUGGCCCGGAUAACUGUGCCUGUUUCGCGCUUGGGCUCAUACUGUUGCCUGGAUUUAUUGCUUGAGAUGUAUUUGUAAUUUCUGUUUGGAUUGCUGUCUAUUUGGGUUGGUGUUGAGGUGAUUUGCCCGGACCAUUUGCAUUCUACACAUUUCAUCUUGCUGUAAUAUAUAAGGCUUCAGAGUUUUAUAUGAUGAUUCUGAAUUGAGUAGCCCCUGCUUUUGUUGUGACAAGUUUUGUUAAACUUUCAUGACACAAGUACAUUAUUUAUCAAAACGUAAUGAUGAUAUAUUUACAUAGAAAGGUUUCGC
rnacentral:rRNA from 1 species